CUUAUCAAUUUAGAGGAAGGAGAAGUCGUAACAAGGUUUCCGUAGGUGAACCUGCGGAAGGAUCAUUGUCGAAACCUGCACAGCAGAACGACCCGCGAACUUGUUAUUCUACGCACGGGUGUUCGGGGGGGCUCCGGCCCUCUCGAUGCCCGAGUGCUGGGCGGAGCGACGCGAGGAGUUGCCUCGUGCCCUCCCCGUGCGCUCUCCCCAGCUAAACAACCAACCCCGGCGCAGGACGCGCCAAGGAAAAAUGAAACGAAAAGAGCGCGCUCCUGUCGGCCCCAGAAAUGGACCAGCCCUCGGGACGCGUCGUCCUCUUUCGAGAACCAAAACGACUCUCGGCAACGGAUAUCUCGGCUCUCGCAUCGAUGAAGAACGCAGCGAAAUGCGAUACUUGGUGUGAAUUGCAGAAUCCCGCGAACCAUCGAGUUUUUGAACGCAAGUUGCGCCCGAAGCCUUUCGGCCGAGGGCACGUCUGCCUGGGUGUCACGCAACCGUCGCUCCAAUCCCCUCCGCCACAGGCGAGGGGUGCGGGGCGGAUUAUGGCCUCCCGCGCGCUCAUCGCUCCCGGUUGGCCCAAAAUUUGAGUCCCCGGCCACGAACGCCWCGACAAUCGGUGGUUGCAAGACCUUCGGACACAGUCGUGUGCGCCCGUCGGCCCAGGAACUCACGGACCCGUUGCGUGCCGAAGUGCGCGCUCCCAUUGCGACCCCAGGUCAGGCGGGAACACCCGCUGAGUUUAAGCAUAU
rnacentral:misc_RNA from 1 species